rnacentral:rRNA from 1 species
UACGGGGGGGGCAAGCGUUGUUCGGAUUUACUGGGCGUAAAGGGCGCGUAGGCGGUCAGCACAAGUCAGUUGUGAAAUCUCCGGGCUUAACUCGGAAAGGUCAACUGAUACUGUGCGACUAGAGUGCGGAAGGGGCAACUGGAAUUCUCGGUGUAGCGGUGAAAUGCGUAGAUAUCGAGAGGAACACCUGCGGCGAAGGCGGGUUGCUGGGCCGACACUGACGCUGAUGCGCGAAAGCCAGGGGAGCGAACGGG